UAGGUUUGGAAUGCAUCCUUAUCAUGAAUGCUCUACACCUCCACCUCCAUCUCCCACAACCUAGGUACAGCUUUGAGACUCACUAAAAGUUGAACCCCCUGAAUGAUGUAGGCUAUGGGGCCACAUAAGACUUUGUCCAUCCAGGGUUACGAUGAAUGUAAAAUAUAAACUAAAGAACCAACAUUUUUCACACAACUCCAGGUUGUUACUACAAGUGUCAUCAAGGGAUAACUACAAGUAGAAGCACCAUUUUUGGAUGGAAAAAACCCUUCAGGAAAGUAUACGUAUCACAUGUAACAUGUAGUGUAACAAAGUAUGAACAGUAAGGUUUUUACAUACAGUAGUACAUAUUACAUACGUACAUAACUUUUUUUUACAGGAAUUUCCAACCAAGUUUGAUUAUGUACAUAUGUAGUACAUGUUAUAAACCACUGUACGUAUGGUUACUGUAUGUAACUUACUAAACAUACAUAACAUGACUUAACUUGAUACUUUUUUGGUACAUUCCAGAAAACCAGGACCCCCUCCAUGAUGCAGGCUAUGGGGCCACAUAAAACUUUGUCCAGGGUUACUACAUAACAUAGCACGACAACUGUAAACUAUGUACUACUGUACUAAAGAACCCCCUGAAUGAUGUAGGCUAUGGGGCCACAUAAGACUUUGUGCAUCCAGGGUUACAUAGCAGGACAACUUUAAACUAAAAAGCUACCAGACUGGGAUUUUAGUGUACUCCAGGAUCUAACAAAUACAUACGUACUACUACGAAGUGUGCAAUGCAGUAUAUA